UACGUAGGUGACAAGCGUUGUCCGGAUUUACUGGGCGUAAAGAGCGCGCAGGCGGUCGAUCAAGUCGAGUGUGAAAGCCCCCGGCUCAACUGGGGAGGGUCAUUCGAUACUGAUCGACUCGAAGGCAGGAGAGGGUAGUGGAAUUCCCGGUGUAGUGGUGAAAUGCGUAGAUAUCGGGGGGAACACCAGUGGCGAAGGCGGCCCUCUGGGGUGUACCUGACGCUGAGGCGCGAAAGCGUGGGGAGCGAACCGG
rnacentral:rRNA from 1 species